AUUGAACGCUGGCGGAAUGCUUUACACAUGCAAGUCGAACGGCAGCACGGACUUCGGUCUGGUGGCGAGUGGCGAACGGGUGAGUAACAUAUCGGAACGUAUCCAAUAAUGGGGGAUAACUAAUCGAAAGGUUGGCUAAUACCGCAUACGCCCUACGGGGGAAAGCUAGGGAUCUUCGGACCUGGCGUUAAUGGAGCGGCCGAUAUCUGAUUAGCUAGUUGGUGGGGUAAAGGCCCACCAAGGCGACGAUCAGUAGCUGGUCUGAGAGGACGACCAGCCACACUGGAACUGAGACACGGUCCAGACUCCUACGGGAGGCAGCAGUGGGGAAUUUUGGACAAUGGGCGCAAGCCUGAUCCAGCCAUUCCGCGUGAGUGAAGAAGGCCUUCGGGUUGUAAAGCUCUUUCGCAAGGGAAGAAAACUUAUCCUCUAACAUAGGAUGAGGUUGACGG
rnacentral:rRNA from 1 species